rnacentral:rRNA from 1 species
CAAUAGCGUAUAUUAAAGUUGUUGCAGUUAAAAAGCUCGUAGUUGGAUUUCUGGUGGGAGCGAUCGGUCUGGCGCUUAGCGCGAGUACUUGCAUCGUCUCCGGCCAUCCUUGGGGAGAGUCGGUCUGGCAUUAAGUUGUCGGGCAGAGGAUCCUCAUCGUUUACUGUGAAAAAAUUAGAGUGUUCAAAGCAGGCUUAUGCCGUUGAAUAUAUUAGCAUGGAAUAAUAAGAUAGGACUUUGGUACUAUUUUGUUGGUUUGCGCACCAAAGUAAUGAUUAAUAGGGACAGUUGGGGGUAUUCGUAUUCCGUUGUCAGAGGUGAAAUUCUUGGAUUUACGGAAGACGAACUACUGCGAAAGCAUUUACCAAGGAUGUUUUCAUUAA